UACGAAGGGGGCUAGCGUUGUUCGGAAUCACUGGGCGUAAAGGGAGCGUAGGCGGGUUUUUAAGUCAGGUGUUUAAUCCCGGGGCCCAACCCCGGACCGGCACUUGAAACUGGGAAUCUUGAAUAGGGGAGAGGUCAGUGGAAUUGGGGGUGUAGCGGUGGAGUGCGUAGAGAUCCCCAAGAACACCAGUUGCGAAGGCGGCUGACUGGACCCAUAUUGACGCUGAGGCUCGAAAGCAUGGGGAGCAAACAGG
rnacentral:rRNA from 1 species